GCCGAGGUGGCGGAAUUGGUAGACGCAGUGGACUCAAAAUCCACCGGCCUUGCGGCCUUGCGGGUUCAAGUCCCGCCCUCGGUACCA
rnacentral:tRNA from 1 species